CGGAGGAUAAGGUGGAGAAGAUAAGCAUGAGAAGUAGGGAUAUGGUGAGAGUUGAGCUGUGAGCUGCCAUGAUAGGUUGAUGUUUUUUUUUUGUUUCCCUGUAUUGUUGGGGAAGAAGGGGAUU